AACUCGAGAGGGAGAGAGCGCUCGGUGCUCUCUGACCCGAACUGGCGACCCAACCGGAAAUCGCUUCUCCGGCCACCUCUCCACGGCGGACCACCGGCAACAGCUUCGUCUCGGUGGCGCCUACGUCCCUGUGGUCUCAGAUUGUACAUGCAGCGACCGUGAACGGAGAAUCGACGAUCCAAAGCAUGAAGAACCUCCGGCGAGUUUCAACGAAUUACGGCGACUCCGGUCACCGUUUGGGAUGCAUUUGUCGUCAACGUCGACGGCUGUUGUGGUAGCUCGGAGACGUGAAUUGCUACUGUUGUCCUGAUGUUUGAAUAGAGAUGGAUGUUGACUUAGAAGCUCUGUCAAUCAAAUUGGGCUGUGGUCGCGACACGGGAAUUAGCAAAGGAUUUCCAGUUACCCGAGGAACGGAAGGUUCGUGAAUCUCGGACAACGUAAAAGGUUAAAGCAUCGGAAUCCAGGUAGGGGACUCGGGACUCAUUCGGUUAGUUGUUUUCUGUUUUGAAUUAAAUGUUUAUGCAUAUUUGAGUUGCAUGGUUUGGUUAUUGAUGGCUUGAGAGUGAGUGGAACAUAGCGAUUCCUUGGGCUUCGAUCCCCUAAACCUCCGGAGGGGCCGUAUGGACGGAAUAGUGUCUGACAUCCUCUGAGGUGUGGCACUAUUUCUAGGUGAUAUGGCGUAAGUGGACACUCUCACUACGCUUACCUGGUGAUGAUUUUAUUUGAGGUAAGGCCGUGUAGUUGGUCCAUGGGACUGGCCAUCAGGUAUUAUGCAUUUAUUUGAGUUUCGUGCAUUGGAUUUUGAGUCCGAAAGAUAUUUAAAGUUUGUCGUUCUUUAAAGAAAUGGUCUAACUUUUUCAUACUGGGAUCCCAAAUUAUUAUCUUAUGUGUCGGUUUCAAACCUAGUCGGGUGAAGCCCCUAUUGAGCAGUGAGGACGAAAGCUCACCCCUACAACAGUGUGGAUGCAGGUACUGUGCACUGGUAACGGAAUUGGAGCGGACGGAGCUGGGUGUGCAGAUUUCAAUAGAAAUCAGGUUCUGGGUUCCAAUCUCAUUUCUGUUCCUUAAAAUUGUAUUUUCGGAACUUGUCACAAUUUGUUUGUUAUGCUAAGUCCUUUAUCCCUCGGUUGUUUUCAACGUUAAGUCCUGGACGAACAUUUGAAUUUAAAGUUUGGAAAGGUUUUCACCUCAAAAGAAUUUAAAAGCUUCCGUGGCGAUUUAUUUCGAACAAAUGCCUAGCGAAUUUCUAGAAUGUAAAUGGAAAUUUUCGGUUCAUGUUUUAGAGACUCGCGACACUGUAACGUACUCAAGCUGGUGAGGUGCA